rnacentral:rRNA from 1 species
AUCAGGGGUAAACCCGUGGAACUCGAACGAGCGAACGGGGAGAUUCAUUCAUCGCCCUUCCGUCGGAGUCCGCGCCGUCGCGCGCGCGUCGGCGUCGCGGCGUCCGUUUCGACGGGCGUCCCGCGCGCGUCCGUCGCUCGCGUCGCGCAGACAGGCUCCCGGAGGGCGUGCACUUCUCCCUCAGUAUAACACCGCGACCCGUCGGACGACGGUCGACACACACGCGACGGGGUCGAACGCGCCGCGCGGCUGUCCCGCGUCGUCCCCUCAAAAAGGACGGCGCGGAGCCGCGGCGUCGCGGCCCCCGUCCGACGGUAAAGAACGAGGAUCGCGUCCGCCGCGCGCCGCGCUCUGCGUGCUCUCAUUCGUGGGGGUCGUCGCGCGCGCGGCUCGCGGCGUCCGUGGCGUCGCGGCGGCGUUCCCCGCGCGGACCUCGGCGCGAAAGCGUCGCGGGUUCCGCGCCCGGCAUCGUCGCGUUCGCGCGACGUCGUCUCGGACGGGACGCGUCCCGGUCGGCGGUGGUUUUGUUUCGGGCACUCACGGGACCCGUCUUGAAAC